GUUCUUUUCGUUAUUUUCGUGAAAUCCUUUGUGUUUUUAUUAUUUCAUUGGUAAAAAGUGAUUUAUUUAUAUUGUAUUUUCAUUUCACCUGCGUGUCGAUACGUAAUUACUCGUUUUUCUAUCAUUGAUCCUUGUCUUUAAACGAUUAAAAAUUAAAUCCGCUCUCUAAUAAGCAAUGAGUGACGUUAAUGGAAGUCACAGGCAUCGAUCUCGUUCUUUAAUUAUUUGAACAGGUUGUUACGGUUCGAGGUAUCGAUCACAUCAAAAUUUAAACUGAAAUUGACGAACAGGUUCUCAGGUUCGAUAACACGAUGAACGAGAAAACACGAUGAAAAAUCUUUUUUUAUCCGUUUUCAACGACACUGCCAUUAUUUAUCACUCUCAUCAUUGAUUUAUUACUAUCAUUUAUUCGAAGAAGCCAGAAGAAGAGAAGCAUCUCUACACAAGUUUUCGAUAUCUUCUCCACUCUAGUUAUAAUCCCAUAAUAACGAAUUGCUCAACUAUUUCGUCACUGGUAAUCGUUCUAUACAAUCUAUGAAACAUUUUAUGGCACAGAGUUAAGGUUAUCGUCCAUUUGACACCACCUGAUCGACAAUUAAAUCGGUAUAUUCGUAUCUAUUGCUCAUUUAUUAAUCGAAAAAUAAAAUGAUUAAACAUUCGUGAUCAUAAUUGAUUCAGAUCUAUUGAAAUAACUCGUGAUUAAUACGAGUAUACUAGAUGACGAUUAAUUGUCGAUUGCAGCGCUGUCAAAAGGCGGCGAUCUUUAUCGUAGAUUAUAAUAUUUUUACGAAUAUCGUGUAAAUCGCCAAAGAGAUUGUAACACGAGAAGAUUACUGUUAAACGGUGAGAUACACAAUAAAUCAGUACCAAGUACGAACGAAAUAUUUUUUUCUCGAUCCAUUGUUUGAACAAAAACAGAUUCAAGUAAUUUAUAAAUAUCAUAAUCGUACAAACUUUGAAAGAAAUUUUUAAAUAACAUCCACGAUAUUAAAAUCAUAUAAUUUCUUUCUUUUUUUUUCGUCUACUCGUAGUGAAUCUACAUUUUUUCAGGUCGCUCGUGUAAACAGGGCAUAUGAAAAUACAAUAAAAUUGCGGAACCAAGAAACGAGCCAUUAAUAAUCAUAACCUCCCCUUUUAUGCAUUUUAGUAAGUCAAGGAUAUGAAUUAUAUAUUCGCGUUUAUCACAAUUUCAAAGUACAAGUGAGAGUAUUGUCCGAAUGUUCAACAAAUUUACAACCAUCGAGAGAAAUAAAAAGCAUUCUCUCGUGAAAAUUUUCUUCUCUAUUCACAAUUCGUAAGAAUCUUUUCUUUUUUUUUUUUUUACUAAUCCCAAACGAACGAAAAUUGAAACCAGAGAAAGAGAGAAGAAACAGGUUAAUUUCAUCGGUGAUACUCGUGAAAUUUAAUUCGAGUUCACCAAUCCGUGAAUAAUUUUUUCGUCCCCCCGUCGAGAAAUUAGAACGGCCGAGAAAGAACAAGCAAUUAAAUACACGACGUCGAGCUCAUGGUACGCGGAUUAUUUCCCGAUGGUAACUAGCGAACUUUAAUGGCGAUGCGACGUAACUUCGAGGCUGAAACUUUGUAAUCCCUCGGUAUAUUGGUUUCUAAGAGCAAGUGUUUUCAGUCAAAGCGGUAUGUAAACUUUCCAAAGAAUCCGCUUUAUUACAUUUUUUUCCUCCCCCCUCGCUUCUUUUCUUUUCUUGGAUAGAUCGAAUAAGAUACGUUUUAUCAGAAAAAUCGGGAAUAUCGAUACGAUAUCGCGAUCCUUUGUGUGCAUCGAUGAUGACGAGAAACCUUCGCUUCGUUGCUUCUUCUUUUAAAGAAAACAAAGUCUUGCGAUAAUUUCAAUAACUAAUUAAUCAAUCCUUUUUUCCUUUGUACGAUAAUCUUUUAUUUAACGACGAGAUAUUUUUAUCGAAUCUGUCUCCACUUUUUAUUUCCACUUCUGUUAAAAACAAUUGCUCCUCCUCUUUUUUUUUAUUUUAUUCCUCCUCCCCUUUAAUAAAUUUCUCGUUCGAAAAUAUCGAAUUAAUCGCAUAAUCGUAUAUAAAUGUGUCGGAGGGACACAGACAUUUCGAUUUCAAUUCUUGCUGCGAGACAAAUAGGGAACACGUUGCGAUAUCAGACUAUUCUCGAGGAAAUUGUCAUAAUGCUGGAUAAUCCGAUUUUGUUCCACACCAAUAUUGGAACGACACGAACGUGGGAUGACAGUAGUUUGCUGUAACUAAACUCCGCAUUAAACGUAUCUCGCAGAGGUAGCGCGGCCGGACUGAUAUAAUCGAUUCCGUUGCGAUUAUUAAGCACUAUUACGUGCGUUUCAAAUAUAAGCAGAAUAACACGAUCAUCCUGCAAAUCGAUCGAGAGUCGGCCGCUACGAGGAAACAAUCCAAUCCGCAACAUUCAUUGAAUCGACAAGCUUCGAUAACGCUUCAAAAUCGACUGGAACGAAACCGCCACGUUCCUUCCCACGGUUUUCACUUGCUUUGUGCUUCCUGUUCCAGAGACUCGACGCGCCCCUAUAUUUCCGACUGGUGGAGACGAGUGGAGUGCGUCGUCAUCCCCCCCUCGGUAUCAGGACUAAUUCUUGGGUCUAAUCUUGAAUAAUCUUCGCUAAUCUCGUGCCAUCUAACGACAGCUUCCCAGGACCGUGUAACCGGAAUAGGUUCGUUUUCAAUUAGAGGAGAACAUUUCGCUGAUGGCGUCUACGAUCUCGCUCGAAACUCGAGAAGAGGAAGAAGCAAGGAGGGAGGGAGGGAGGGAGUUGAAACUUGGCGAAUUCGCGGCGAAUCUGCCGACAGAACAAAUUGCACGGAUAAUCAUCCGCCUCCCUGCCGCGAUAAAUCGCGCUCCAUUAGAACUUAAACCAUAGGAGACGUGUCCAUACAUGAAGGGGAGAGAGAGGGUUGUACGGUGUAUAACGAUAAUGUAAUGUGGGACGAUUAUUAGGAAUCGUGGAUAAUUUUAGAGAGGCUAAUGUUCGAUUUGUUUGCAUAAAUUUUCUGUUCUCGAAUUUUCCUUCAUAUGGACAAUUUGCAACGCUGUUUCGUGAUCCAUUUAUUUGGGUAUCUCUUGGAAAACUUUUGAAGUAUGUACGUGCGGAUGAUUUUCUAGAUUGUGUUGUAUCUUCGAUGUUGCAAUUCGUUAUAUAACGAUAGUGGAUAAUUAAUAGUUGACACGAAUUGUGAACUUUCUAAAAAUAUCAAUAUAAGAUAUAUCUCGUUCAAAUCGAUCCAUUUCCAGGAAAGCGUCGAUUUCGAAUAAAGUUUGAUUGCGCCACUUGUUGUAGAUAGACUCUUUCAGAAAAUAAUAAUAAUAAUAAUGAUUUAAUCAAUUUCAUUACACUUUUCAACACUUUCUUAUAAUAUAAAAUUAACCGACACAAUUUCCAAAUACGACGAAAUGUACAACUGCCACGGUAUAUACGAGCAUUCAACAAGUACGACAAUCACACCAGACCCGGUGCAUACACGAUGCAUAAUCUUAAGGUAUGCAAGCAAGCACACCGAGGAGAGUUCAAAUCACAGGAAACUCCCCCCUCCCUCUCCUAUUCUCGGCACAAUGGAGCCGAAACAGGUUCCUUGGAAUGGCAGAAUUUCAUAGGUACGGAGACGAGCGUUGCCAAGGGUGCAACAAUUGACCGUCAUAAUCAUAGCUUUCUAUUUUAUCGCAAUACAUCUUUUUACACAUCAAUCUGGAAAGUGCUCUUUUGAACCGUAUAAUAAUAGGCUUUGUUCGUAAAAAGGACGGCAUUCAUUCCGAUUCUCGAGAAAUACCCUUGUAUUCUCGAUUUCCACAAUCUUUUCCCUCCCCUCAAAGGGGAUGCCGCUCGUACGAAUCGUUUUGGCCGAUCGAUUCGUCGCCAGCUUUCAAACACACGGGACACGGUCGAUCUUCCGUACCCGACGAAAAUUGCACGAGAUGCUUCCCCACCCCUCUCUCUCUCUCUUUUCCCUUCCUCUGUGACGGUAUUUCUCGCUGACAAAUGGAACUGAUCUAUUUAAUCGUCGUUAAACGCCGUGUCUUUGAGCGUGGCGGCGAAUCCAAUGUCGUCGAGCGAACGAAAUUUUCGUUCGAGCGCGUGGAAUUUUACAAAAGGUGCAAUUCGGAACGGUAACCAGGCAAGGUGGUAAAAGGAAAAUAGGAGAAAUUAGAAUGGGUAUUGAAAAAUAAAUAUAUCAGUAUUAUAAUUGAUCGUCGAAAGAUUAUUACACAGUACAAAAAAGAAAUUUCAAGAUAUUAAUAGUUUUGGAAUUUUAAAUAUACAACUUGAUAUUAUUUAUAUUUGCAUUAUUAAUUUUAAUUUUAUGCUUAAUACGUAUAAUGUCAAUUGACUGGAUAAUUCAUAGUAUCUAUUCUCUAUAUUUGGUGUAUACUAAAAUAAAUAAGAAAUUUAGAAUCCAUAUAUAUAUACGUUCAUUGUCGAAAAAGGUUCCUCGCGCGACAAGAAUGGAUAAAGCUUAAAACGAGCGCAACCUACGAAACAAAAGCGAUCGAUUUUCUAUGACAAGCGUCCGUUUCAAUCUAUUUGGGUCGGUAUUUCCGUGAGACUUGGCGGAAUUCGUUAUUUCAUUCGGGGGGAGGCACGCGAAAUUCGUCGAAAAGUUGCCACGAUGGAAGAAAAACAUGAUCUGCGUGCACAAACAAUUCUGUCAACGAAUUUAAUUUCACCGCGAUGUAAAUUUGUAUCCGUUCGGUUCCGAGCGAAGAGAAAAGGAUCCAAUUAAAACGGAAUACUGCUGCCAGCGACGCGUGGAAUGUUUUUUCGAAAGGGCUGAAAAAUACGAACUUGAUGACUAUUCGCUUCGAGGUCUUCGUGAUGGGGGGGAGGAUUUUUUUUUUUAAAAAAAA